GAGAGGGUGAAGGGGUAGAGCUGCUCAGGGUACAGCCCAGGAAAGAAAUUCUGAGGAAACUGCAGCCUCAGCUCUCUCAGAAAGGAGCGCGUGAGGGCGUGCAGUCUCGCCAGCCAGGAGGGCUGCUCAUUUCCACGUGAGCAGCCAGUCUGGGGGUCAGUUUUCUCGUAGUUUUCCCUAUGGCGAUAGCAGUGAAUGCAUUCUAAGUGCCAAGGAGCUGCAGCAUUAGGUGCUGUCUUUUCCUUGACGAAAAUACUAAUGUGUGACCUGCAUGCUACAGGGGAAUUGUCAAUUUCAGAUCAUUACCGGGGAAAAACAUGGCAGAGUUUAACUUGUCUCUCCGUUGUGCUAGCGUCUCCUGCAGAAACGAAGGAAGAAAAGGCUUGACACUGCACUGAAUCCACUUUUGUCUUAGCAGGGCACUGGCUGCAUCUGUUUGAAAGGCUUGCAUUGUACCACUGUUCUUUGUUAUCAGGUUUCCCAUGGUGGUCAGUGUUACAUAUCUUACAUUGUUUGAGCUAAUUAAGCCAGGGAAUCAGGGAAAGCACAUUUCCGGCGGGGAUUUAUUGCCAAAAGAUAUUUCAGCUGAAGGGGAAAAAAAGGAAAUCUCCCUUUAUGUCCAGCAUUCCUGAGCUGUUUCAUAAUAUUCAGUGUUCAGCUUCAUGGAAAUACACUGACAACAAUGUCAAGAAGUUUGAAAUUGAGCAGUUUUCCUCUGUUUUGUUGAAUUUAAAAACACUAUAAGGAAAGCAACAGUUCUGUAUAGCCACAAAAAUAAGAAAACUAUUUGAAUCAUCUUGGUUGGAAACAGAGUUAGACCUGUUUGUUAAUCUACAAACAGAUUAUUGUUUCCUCUCAAGGUGCUUUGUGCCACUUCAUUACUUGCACUCAUUUUUAUAUUUCUUUGCAAGAGAAACGCAAGUGGCAGCGCUUUAAGUCUUCACUGCUGUGUAUUUAGGACACCUGUAGAGGCAAAGGGACAUGGUUCACUAAAGUCCGCACCCAGCAUGGUUGUUCACAGCAGCAUGAAGGGGUGCUCAAAGCACCUGUCAGGAGGAUGAGUUGAACCCCGCGUACGUGCCCAGCACAUCAGUGCUGUAGGGUGUUUUCCAGCACCUUCAGCUGCCUCACAAGUGCUGCCCAUGGGGCAGAGCCCCGACUGCAACACGGUCAUCGGCCCAGCCGAAAAGGGAAGCUCUGCUCUGACGUAUGGGAUGUCAUACACAGGUUCAUUGUUAGGAAAUCCUGUGUGUGAACAAAGCCCUACUUUUCUUCCAAGUAAUAUUAGUAAUCACUGUUGGUGAUGAUGACAGUUUCUUCAUUUUCACCAAGACAUCUAAAAGGCUUUGCUGAAAGAAGUCAGGAUGAUUAUCCUCUGCCUUGCCAAGGGAAACCUGAGCAACUGGGGAUUGCUGUUGAUUAUUAAAGGCAUUCAGUGUUUUGGAUGAGAAGAUCCAAAAGUCUUCAGUUUGGUGUAACUUCUGUCAAGCUUUGGCUGUUCACUCUGAAAUUGUGUUCAGGUAGUUUCUGCAGAAACAUUUCAGCUCUUCCAAACAUAAUGAAGAAAAGAAUUUUCAUUCGUGGAAAAAGGAAAGUAUGACAACUUUCUCUUUAGAAAGCAUUGGCAGUCCACCUCAUUUGAAGCAGGGACUAAAAGUCUGAUAUCACUAUACUGUCAAAGAAAAUUUACCUAAUUUCUAGGUCUCUGAAAAGCUGCAGCUUGAACAUUCUCUCAGAAGAGAGUGUUUUAGCCAAACUCCCCUCAUAUUUGGCCCACAGUGAGCAGGCUAGACUGCAACCUAUCAUUGCUAUCAGUUAAUCCUUUAGGACAAGUGAGAAGAGUCUCGGAUAUAAGAGUUUCCAGCUUUGCUGGUGACACAUACAGGUGUCAGUGCAAAGCUGAAUGAUAACACUUCAGUAUUCCCUUUUUUUUUUUUUUUAAUAGGAAAUUAUAUGCCGAAGCUGUUAAAAAGAUUGUGUUGAGAUGGAAAAAUCAGAAACUCAAAGUCGAAUAGAAAGAAUUCCACAAAUAAGAUUCUUAAUCCCAGUGCCAGUCCCUUUGUGCAGAUUUUAUUAUUAUUAUUAUUAUUAUUAUUAUUAUUAUUAUUAUUAUUAUUAUCCAUCUUUAAUUAAAUGAUGAUACUAAUUUUUUCCCUAAGUCUCUAUCCUCAUGUAGUGCAUAGGAUGAUUCUGCUAUUAAAAUUAAUGAAGACUGUAUUACAAAGAAAGCCCUUGGGCUGUAGGGUCCUCACCCCAAGUGCUGCUGUAUCUGGAAGACAUGCAGCCCAUGAGACAGCAGGUUACAAGGAGGGAGAAGACUACUUGGUGACUCAGGAAUUUGACUAUGGGAUGGCAUACCCUCUCCUGCCACUGCAUCUUUAUAUAAUGCUGACCAAGUCACUUAAAGCAGGUUUUGCACUGGUGGAUGCUAACUACAAAUCUGUCCCUUACAGUGCAUGUGCCUUGGCACUCAGAGGCUCCUGACCCUGCUGCUGCUUUUUCCAGGAGAGGAUCUUCACCAGCAGGCCAGAGCUCUCUGCUCAGGUUCCCUAUCUUUUUUUCCUGGAAGUAAAUGAAUUAGACUAAAGUGCAGAGCACAUUGAUACCAAGCUUGCAUUUCAAUAAGUAUGACAUGUAUAAUGUGUGUUUGUGGGUAGAACCCUGCUCCAGUGCAUGCAAUAAAUCUUGGGAGGGAAAGUGGUGGGGAGAAAGGUGGUAUGAAGCUUGCUGUAAUACUUUCUUCUAAGGUUUGAAUGAAAAACUGAUCACAUGGAUAGGCCCUUCAAGUGACCUGCUGAGCUGAUAGAAAAUCGAAGGACAGGAUGCCUGAAAGUGCCUCUGGAGAGCAGAAGCAAGAUGAGUGGUAAAUAAGCAAUACAAAGUCUGUGAAACCAAACCAUUAAAAAACCAUUUCUGAGCUAGUAAUCUUCUUUCACAUCCUUUCCACUGUGAGAAAAGGCAAAAGAGAAAGGGGAAGGAGGGAAGAGCACUGAAUAUUUUCUUUUAUUUCACAGAAGCUCAGGUGCUGAACUUGUUAGAAAUUUUCUUAGGUGCAAAAUGGUGUUCCUAACAUUUUGGACUGUUUCUGCCUUUGUUUUCCAGUCCCCACACCUAUUACAUUGAAGUCCAUUAAGAGGCUGAUGAUGAGUGCUGGUCACUCGGAGAAUGAGCAGCAAAGUCUGUAACACUGCCUUCUCUCAGCAGCAUGUGGCAGAACAAGAAAACAGCGUCCUCCUUGCCUCCCCUGGCACAGCGAUCUGAGUACUGAGAGCAGAACAACCUACUGGGCUGCGAGCAAAUGAGGAACAGCAGCAGCUUGGCAUUUUCCUGAGGCCGUGGCUUGAGACGGAGUUGCUGCAGCCUUAACAGAGGCUGCACCAACCAUGGCAAACGUGACCUGCUCCAUUAUUGGAUUGUGCGGUGCUGUUUUGCUUUUGCGCUUAAUAUUGGUAAUUAUGCAAUUUCUAGACAACUUCCCUGUCAUAACCAGGGCAGCAAUGCUGACAAAACAGGCUUUAAAUAAGCACUUGUCAAAGUAACAGCUAUUUUUGUUUGCCCUAUUUAGCACUGUGUUUAAGGUCUACAGUGGAAAUCUCAGACAUUUUUAAAUACAUGGUGCAGUCACUUUAUCACUGGAUCAUAAUAUUGUAAAUCCCCAAAGCAUGGAAAAUAAAAGUGUUUUAAUAGACCCUUUUCAUGGUUACUGCUGGCACGUAAAGGUCGCAGCUUUCGCAAGGCCUGCUUGAGAGCCAGGAAGCACAGACAAGCUUAGGACUGGUGAGUCCUUCUUCAGGCUGUAGGGGCUGUUGGGCAGGAAAGAUUCAAUAUCCUGCUUUUUCCCAUCUCUGAGACCUCCAGAGGGUUCUCCAGGGGAAAAGAAAGGACAAAAACACCAACGCAAGACUUAGCAGUCCUGCUGUUUCUCAGGUAAGAACCAAACAGAAAGCAACCUCAAAGCCUCUUAGUUCAUAAUUAAGACAAGACAAGAAAUCCUUUUUCCCUUCCUUCAUGAGCCCCAUCUGGGGUGAUUGUCUCCAUGCUCCUCAGGCACUGGGCUGCUUUGUUUGCCCAAACAGGGGGCACAGGUACAAUGUCAGCACAUGGCAACAGGUUUCUUACCCAAGGUGUUGUGAACAGGCAACCGUGAGGCCUCGCCUGACCGUGCAGCAAAGUAGGGAUGUGCACAACCUGAAAUAUGUGGAGGCUCACCCUUUAGGUAGGGAAAGGGAGGCCAGAUGGGCAGUGGCACAAGUGUGACAAUCAUGGAGGAGUGCUUCCUUUAGGAAAUAAAACAACCAGCCAAGCACAAAAGGAUUGCAGAGUAACAUGUGGGAGCAAUUGCAUACUGGUUUAUUUAGGCUAGUGCUUUUUUUUUUUUUCUUUCCCCUCCAUCUCCAGACUAUGGACUUCCUAGCCUGUCUAUUCCCAGGAAUCUUGUGAUAUGUUUAAGAACACAUCACAAACACAUUCUCCUUAAAAAGGCUCUGGUGAGGAGGAAAAGGGUUGAGGAGGAUCCUUGCUAUCUUUACACAGAGAGCUACAGGAGUAACAGCAUUUGGGGGUCCUGUUUUUUUGAACAACACCCUUGUCUUCCCCUCCUUCUUGUCUCUACCAGCGGAUGCCAGAGAGACAGCCAAAGCAAACAUAACACAUGGGAAAUGGUCUGUAAAUCCAAAACAAAAGAAAUUUUCUUUUAUCAGCUGUUUCCUGUUGUCAAAGAAUAAAUGAUUGCUUUAACUGUGGGCUUUUUUUUUUUUAGUGUAGUGUGCAUAGAAACGUGGUAAGUUAUUUAAUUUUUUGAGUAGAAUUGAAUUUUAUUACGUGUAUUAAAAUGAUCCUGUUAUUAAAAUAAUCUUGGCAUUAAAAUAAUAUCAUCUAUA